GUUAGGGUUAGGGUUAGGGGUUAGGGUUAGGGUUAAGGUUAGGAGGCUCCCACUUCUCCUAUGUGUCCUGAAGAGCAAACAUCUCACAGACAUACUCAGACAAGUCCGGACAUGUUUCUUUUUGUGCCCAUAGCCUGAAGAAGACCCACAGCGGUCGAAACGUUGCAACUGGGCACUCUUUAUCACACCUUUUCUUUAUUUCUUCCUCCUCAUAGGCAUUUUAUUUGGUUUUCUUUCUUUUAUUUCAUUUUGAUUUCAGAAAACAACAAAAAAAGCAUAAAAAAAUUAAAGAACAAUUCAUUUUUUAUAUACAGUUUUUGUUUUAAAUAUUUUUUCAUUUCAUUAGAUUAAUAAAUAGAUAGAUAAAUACACAAAUAAAUAAAUACAUAGUUUAAUAAAUACAGUACAUUAAUAAAUAGUAAUAAAUAAUUAAAAAGAUUAAAAACAAUCAUGAAUUAUGAGCAACAAGACUGGACUGAAGUGCGGUACGGGAAAAGGCGUGGUCGACGCCCGUACCGCACUAAUAAUCAGCAAUACCAAACGGGGUCGUGGGGGACGGGGAACAGGGGGAUGGACCGUGCACCUCCUGUCUCCUAUCCUGGUUGAAGUCCGUAACCUUUAUGAGACAGAUAUCAUUGUGUGAGGACAGCAGGAUGUUCUCUGGCUUCAGGUCUCGGUGGAUUAUUCCAUUGGUGUGGAGGUACUGGACGGCUCUCAGCAUCUGGUAAAAGUAAAGUUUGGCGAUUGACUCCUUCAGCUGCCCCUGGGACUUCACUUUUUGGAAAAGUUCUCCUCCUUCCAUGAGCUCCAAGACAAUGUAGUAGCUGUCCUCUGUCUGAUAGAAGUCUUCUGUCUUUGUGAGGCAAGGAUGGUUCACUCGCUGCAGAAUUUCAAUCUCUGUCUCCGCAUUUCGCGUUGCUGUCCCUUCAGACUGAAAAUUCUUCUUGUUUAUUAUUUUCACUGCAAAUUUUUUGCAGGUGGAUCUCUCGAAGGCUAGUUUUACUUCACCACACACCCCUGUGCCAACCUGCCGAGUCAGUACGUAUUUUCUUUGCAACUCCUGCGGGAGAGCUGACUGACU